rnacentral:rRNA from 1 species
AGAGUUUGAUCAUGGCUCAGAAUCAACGCUGGCGGCGUGCCUAACACAUGCAAGUCGAACGCGAAAGGGGCUUCGGCCCUGAGUAGAGUGGCGAACGGGUGAGUAACACGUGGGUGAUCUACCUUCGAGUGGGGGAUAACGUUCCGAAAGGAGCGCUAAUACCGCAUGAUGUUCCGGGUUUAAACACCUGGAAACCAAAGCCGGGGACCGCAAGGCCUGGCGCUUGAAGAGGAGCCUGCGUCCGAUUAGCUAGUUGGCGGGGUAAUGGCCCACCAAGGCGACGAUCGGUAGCCGGCCUGAGAGGGCGGACGGCCACACUGGAACUGAGACACGGUCCAGACUCCUACGGGAGGCAGCAGUGGGGAAUUGUUCACAAUGGGCGCAAGCCUGAUGACGCAACGCCGCGUGGGGGAUGAAGGUCUUCGGAUCGUAAACCCCUGUCGAAUGGGACGAAAGACCCGGGAGCUAAUCAUCCCGGGAGUGACGGUACCGUUAAAGGAAGCCACGGCUAACUCUGUGCCAGCAGCCGCGGUAAUACAGAGGUGGCAAGCGUUGUUCGGAAUUACUGGGCGUAAAGGGCGCGUAGGCGGCCAUCUAAGUCAGACGUGAAAUCCCCCGGCUUAACCUGGGAACUGCGUCUGAUACUGGACGGCUCGAGUUUGGGAGAGGGAUGCAGAAUUCCAGGUGUAGCGGUGAAAUGCGUAGAUAUCU